rfam:Oryctolagus cuniculus cont2.13344, whole genome shotgun sequence.
AAUCCUGUUAGACCUGGGAUUUCGACACUUUCAGUCUGAAAAACUGCGCGUCCACUCAGAACCCCAGAAGGACUUAGGCACUGCCCUUUCCUGCUGAGAAGCUGGAACAUUUGGCAUUUGGAGCAUUGAG